UGCCGCGUGGGUGAAGAAGGCCUUCGGGUUGUAAAGCCCUUUAGGUUGGGAAGAAGUGUGUAUGAUGAUAAGUCAUAUACAUUGACGGUACCCGACGAAUAAGCUCCGGCUAACUCCGUGCCAGCAGCCGCGGUAACACGGGGGGAGCAAGCAUUGUUCGGAAUCACUGGGCGUAAAGGGCGUGUAGGCGGCCCGAUUAGUGGGAUGUGAAAUGCCCCGGCUCACCCGGGGACCGGCAUCCCAAACUGUCGGGCUUGAGUAUGGGAGAGGAUGAGGGAAUUCCUGGUGUAGCGGUGAAAUGCGUAGAUAUCAGGAGGAACACCGGUGGCGAAGGCGCUCAUCUGGCCCAAUACUGACGCUGAGGCGCGAAAGCUGGGGAAGCAAACGGGAUUAGAUACCCCGGUAGUCCCAGCUGUAAACGGUGAUCACUAGGUGUUGGGGGCGUUGACCCCUCCAGUGCCGCAGCUAACGCAUUAAGUGAUCCGCCUGGGGAGUACGGCCGCAAGGCUG
rnacentral:rRNA from 1 species